UAAAUCAGUUACCAUUUACCAUUUAGCCUUUGUUAAUAUUGUUUUAAAUAAUAUAGUUGGACUUUUCAACACCCAUUUACCAUUUUCCGCCGCCCCUUUUGUUUUUUCUUUGGUUUUAAACAGAUUCUAUCAUCUGGGUCUUAAGUUUUGAUAUUAAAGUUUGGAUUUUUAGAUUUGUGCAUUAGGGUUUUUGGUUUUUAUGGAGAAUUUGGGUUUUUUUCAGGCACCGAGGAGUUUGUUGACGAAGUUGCAGAGGGAGAUGAACAGAUUUCAGGAUCCACCAUUGCUGGGUGCGUAUAUCUAUUUGAAGGAGCAGAAGGUGAUGGUGGAUCAUGAAAGGGCAUUGUUGAACAAGAGAAAAAUAGGGUGCAGAUGCUGUUGCAGGGUAAUCAAUCCCUUGCUCUCUCACCCAUAUGUGCAGGGUCUUGGUAUUUAUGGAGAUUUUGGGUAAUAGUUAAUCAUCUUGAAAUUAACGACAGAGGGAGAAAGGAGACGAAGUUGCAGAGACAACAAAUUUCAAAUUCUAAGGAAGAUGAACCAAAAUGGAAGAUGAAAAGGAUGAUAUUUGGGUUCCUCAUCUCUGAAAGAUGAAGAAUUGAAGAUGAAGAAGUAUGAGAUUAGGGUUUACUGGUGGUGUGUUGAGGAUGAACCAAGAACAAUAGAAUAUGAACCAGCAAUGUCUACUUCAAUCUUCAAACUAAAUCUCACUCAUGGUAAAAACUCAUAUUAACCAGGGGCAACUUUCUAACAAUUGCUAAAAAAUCCUUCUCAAAAUUAA